rnacentral:snoRNA from 1 species
GUUUGAGGAUGAUUCAGAUGACGAGUCUUAUUCGAUUUUCGAUGCUGAUAAUAUCUUAACUUACCAUUCAUGCAAAAUCUGAAC